AGUGGUUUUGCGCCGAAAAUUACCGGGGCUCAAACAUACUACCGAAGCUUUGAACGUGUGAGAUUUUACUAAGAGCUUAAGUAAAAUCCAAGAGAAGACAUAUUAAAAUCUAACCGAUAAAAAAAGAAAAAAAUAAGAAACAAAGACAAAGAAACAGACAAAUAAAAAUACAGUAAUAAAGUAAAAUAAAAAGCAAUAUAAAACGAAAGAUUUUAAUUAAAUUUCUCAAAGAAAAAACAUACUAAAUGAAGCUUAAGAGUUUAGUAAAAUCUCACACGUGGUAGAAGAGCAUCGUAUGAUAGGGAGAAGGAGGAUUGAAAAAGACUCUGGACGAAAUACGAGAGAGAAUGUUGGCAUGAGUAGCGAGAUGUGUGUGAGAAUCACACAGGCCGAAAACCCAAGGUUUUCCAAGGAAGGUUCGUCCGCUUGGAGUAAGUCGGGGCCUAAGGAGAGGCAGAAAUGCGUAUCUGAUGGAUAACAGGUUAAGAUUCCUGUACCUACGCUUAUCGCCAAAGAGGAGAAGGAAUGACGCAGGAGGAUAAGAUCAGCGCACGGUUGGAAGAGUGCGUCCAAGCAGUAAGGCAGGCAUAUAGGCAAAUCCGUAUGCUGUAAAUGUUGAGCUGUGACGGGGAGAGAAGUUAAGUAUCGAAGGAUCUGAUUUCACACUGACAGGAAAAGUUUCUAUCCAGAUAAGAGUAGCCCGUACCAAAACCGACACAGGUGGGUAAGGUGAGAAACCUAAGGCCAGCGAGAGAACUGUUGUUAAGGAACUCGGCAAAAUGACCCCGUAACUUAGGGAUAAGGGGUGCCUUAGAGAUAAGGCUUCAAGAAAAAGGCCCAAGCGACUGUUUACCAAAAACAUAGGUCUCUGCGAAACCGCAAGGUGAAGUAUAGGGGCUGACGCCUGCCCGGUGCUGGAAGGUUAAGAGGAGAUGUCAGGCAACGAAGCAUUGAAUUUAAGCCCCAGUAAACGGCGGCCGUAACUAUAACGGUCCUAAGGUAGCGAAAUUCCUUGUCGGGUAAGUUCCGACCCGCACGAAAGGCGUAACGAUUUGGGCACUGUCUCAACGAUGGACUCGGUGAAAUCAUAGUACCUGUGAAGAUGCAGGUUACCCGCGACAGGACGGAAAGACCCCAUGGAGCUUUACUGCAGUUUGAUAUUGAGUGUCUGUGCCACAUGUACAGGAUAGGUAGGAGCCUACGAGAUCGGGACGCCAGUUUCGAUGGAGGCGUUGUUGGGAUACUACCCUUGUGUUAUGGCCACUCUAACCCGGUAGGUUUAUCAUCUACGGAGACAGUGUCUGACGGGCAGUUUGACUGGGGCGGUCGCCUCCUAAAAGGUAACGGAGGCGCCCAAAGGUUCCCUCAGAAUGGUUGGAAAUCAUUCGCAGAGUGUAAAGGUAUAAGGGAGCUUGACUGCGAGAGCUACAACUCGAGCAGGGACGAAAGUCGGGCUUAGUGAUCCGGUGGUUCCGUAUGGAAGGGCCAUCGCUCAACGGAUAAAAGCUACCCUGGGGAUAACAGGCUUAUCUCCCCCAAGAGUUCACAUCGACGGGGAGGUUUGGCACCUCGAUGUCGGCUCAUCACAUCCUGGGGCUGGAGUAGGUCCCAAGGGUUGGGCUGUUCGCCCAUUAAAGUGGUACGCGAGCUGGGUUCAGAACGUCGUGAGACAGUUCGGUCCCUAUCCGUCGCAGGCGUUGGAUAUUUGAGAGGAGCUAUCCUUAGUACGAGAGGACCGGGAUGGACGCACCACUGGUGUACCAGUUGUCUUGCCAAAGGCACAGCUGGGUAGCUAUGUGCGGUUAAGAUAAGUGCUGAAGGCAUCUAAGCACGAAGCCAACCUCAAGAUAAGAUAUCCCAUACGCAAGUAGUAAGACCCCAUUAAGAACAAGUGGUAGAUAGGCAAGGAGUGGAAGUGCAGUAAUGUAUGUAGCUGACUUGUACUAAUAGGUCGAGGACUUAACCU
rnacentral:rRNA from 1 species